rnacentral:lncRNA from 1 species
AGUGAAAUGUACUCCUACACUUCACCUGUGUGGCAUAUCAGUGUCUCCACACUCCUUGGUUAAGAGGACAACCAACGUAUAUGUCACACAACGACCUAAUCUCGAUAAUGUUGUCGUCCUAGUAACAACAUAUCAUUUGAUCGCGAACAAGUUUAAGGACUCAAAGAUAAAUCCUCCUUUAUCAUAACAUAAGUCCUAA